UACGUAGGGUCCGAGCGUUGUCCGGAAUUAUUGGGCGUAAAGGGCUCGUAGGCGGUUUGUCACGUCGGGAGUGAAAACUCAGGGCUCAACCCUGAGCGUGCUUCCGAUACGGGCAGACUAGAGGUAUGCAGGGGGAGAACGGAAUUCCUGGUGUAGCGGUGGAAUGCGCAGAUAUCAGGAGGAACACCGGUGGCGAAGGCGGGUCUCUGGGCAGUAACUGACGCUGAGGAGCGAAAGUGUGGGGAGCGAACGGG
rnacentral:rRNA from 1 species